ACCCGUGACUCUUACGCCGCGCUUUGCCCAAAGCUUGGACGGCGCAAGGGCUCAUCCGCCGGCCCGGAGACCCCCACGCAGAGAAGCGCCCUCGGUCAGGUCGGCUCACCCGGCUCCGGACCCCCCAUUUCGCCCUCCCCGCGGCGUUCGUCCGCGUGCCCCCGGCAAGGACUCCGCAGCAUCACGCACGACGGCCCUGCCUCAGUACCUGAGUCACGUCCCGCGUCUCGGCGCGGGGAUGCCCGUGCUGGCGCCGGACCGCAGCCCGCUGUGCCCGUGUGCCCGCGCAGAGCCGCACAGCCCGUCUGCUCCCGGGCUGGGGAGCGCUCCCGCGCGGCGGCUCUGGAGCUGCUCGCCCCGCCCUCCACACGGGGCGCGCCCUGGGUCCUAUCGCCGCCGCGGCGACUCCCCCUCCACUACAGGUUCUUCGGCGCCCGGGCCCCGGCUGCGCGCAGCGCGACUCCACCGGCGCCGGCUCCGAGCGGGGCCCCGGUGCCUCACAAGGCAUCAGCACGAGCUUUGCGCUGCUUGCGUACAGUGCAACGCGGGGCUGGACCCUGCCGGCACGAAUGCUGCGCUGGCUGUCCGGAGGAAGAGGACCUGAGCAGCGGACUUCAACUUAUGAAUGGAUUUCUGCUGUUGAGGUCUAAACAACAACUGUCUCCGGCAGCUGAGCUAGAAUGGAUUCUGAAACAGAGUAAAACGCAAGCAGAAAUUAACUGUCAGCAGCUCUGUGAGAAUGCUGAAUGUAAUUGGUAUCAGAAAUCAGAGGAUCCAACACACAACCUGUCUUCAUCAAGAGAGGAGGUUCAAGGUGAUCUACAGAAAACAGACUACAGGUUGCAUGAAGUGAAGAGUGUUCUUUCUGCUUUUACUGUUGAGAGAGAACAGACAAUACAAGCAUCAUUUAAUCACAGUAUUUCACCUGAAGGGGAGAAACAGGUUAGACAACACUUAGUGUAGACAUGGACGAAUUCAUUCUAAGAUAACAGUAUUAUGGGCCUUGUUUCCACUGAACUUACUGUAGGCAGUUCAUCUGUUUCAUAUGUUUCAUUCAAAAUAUAGGCAUAUCUGUCCUGGAAAACACAUACAUCGGGUGCCAUGGGAUUAAUUAUGGCUCUCAUUCAUUACUCACUAGCAAAAGGAGCAAGCUGAAUAUAGACAGCUGCUCCAAAAUGUGGCAACAUACUGUACCACAGUGGCAAUCAAAUGGGAAGGAUGAAUUUCUGGAACCUCAUUCCUGAGGUUCUGUGCAGUUCAGGGUAGAUUUUAAAGUUUAAAAGUUAAAAUUUUAAGGCAAUGUUUCAAAAUAUUAAUAUGCCAGCCGUUUAAAAUAUUUUAAUGUUUUGUAUUUGAGUAUCACCAGCUAGUUUUCCUUUCAUUGCUGCCUCUUAAAUUGCUUAUAUUUUAAAAAGCCAUUCAAAGUUGUAAAUGUAAUGCUGGUUUGAAGUCAUGCUGAAGGAUAAUGCAUUAAUGGUAGAAAACUGCUUUGGUAAGAGUGAAAGCAGUGUAGGCUGCAGUGCACUCUACUGGGUGGCUACAGGUGCUCAACAGUGACCAGUUCAGAGCAUGUUACCAGAGCUUGCUAAGAAAAAGCAGUUUUGGUUUUGUUUGGUUGGUUUUUGUUUUUUCCCCGGGAAUUUUCUUCCCUUUUGUUGUCAGGGAGAUGGUGAAUGGACAGCGAUCCAGAGACAAAAGACGUGGCCUUGGCAUACCAUUGUAAUGGUUCCGGGGGAGUGAGAGAAGCGGGGGGAGGGUGCAGACAUAUUCUGGCAGUUUCUUAGCUGG
rnacentral:lncRNA from 1 species